UACGGAGGAUCCAAGCGUUAUCCGGAUUUAUUGGGUUUAAAGGGUGCGCAGGCGGGAGAUUAAGUCGGCGGUGAAAUUUUGCAGCUCAACUGUAAAAGUGCCUUCGAAACUGGUUUCCUUGAGUGUGGAUGAAGUAGGCGGAAUUUGUGGUGUAGCGGUGAAAUGCAUAGAUAUCACGAGGAACUCCGAUUGCGCAGGCAGCUUACUAAACCAUAACUGACGCUCAGGCACGAAGGCGUGGGAUCAUACAGGAUUAGAUACCCU
rnacentral:rRNA from 1 species